GAAGGGGCAGCUGUAAAAGCUGCGUGGUUGGUUGUUUUAGGGUUGGGGAGUUGAGGUUGAAAGGUGGCGGAUACAGGUCUACCGUGAGUCCUGUGCAUAGAACACUUACCUCCUCUUCAGCAAGAAACAUCUUAACCUCAACCAUGUCUGACCAGGUUAAGACUUCAGCAGCAGACAAUAUGAGUGUGUUGCUGUUUGGUGUUGAGAGCUCAGGAUUUGCCCAGAUAGGAUUACCCCCAGUUGACUACAAUGAAAGCUUUUUUUAUCAUGCGAAACCUCUUGGAAAUCUGAAAGGCUUCUCUCACAUCCUGUUCACUCCAACUGGGUUAAUGUUUGCAGUCCGUAAUGCAGACGUCUAUGCAGGGUCUCCUCCAGUGAAUCCGGAUGAAGACUGGCUGACUACAGCCAA